rnacentral:rRNA from 1 species
UACAGAGGGUGCGAGCGUUGUUCGGAAUUAUUUGGCGUAAAGGGCGCGUAGGCGGUGCGGUAAGUCACCUGUGAAAUCUCCUGGCUCAACUGGGAGCUUGCAGGCGAAACUGCCGUGCUGGAGUGUGGGAGAGGUGCGUGGAAUUCCCGGUGUAGCGGUGAAAUGCGUAGAGAUCGGGAGGAACAUCAGUGGCGAAGGCGGCCAUCUGGGACAACACUGACGCUGAGGCACGAAAGCGUGGGGAGCAAACAGG